rfam:Lasius niger Lnig_2.1_30532, whole genome shotgun sequence.
UAAUCGGCCUUUCUCAAGGCCAUCAAAACAAUCGGCCCUUUUCAGG